GGGCCCGCACAAGCGGUGGAGUAUGUGGUUUAAUUCGAUGAUACGCGAGGAACCUUACCAGGGCUUAAAUGUAAGUUGCAUAGAUCAGAAAUGAAUCUUUCUUCGGACUACUUACAAGGUGCUGCAUGGUUGUCGUCAGCUCGUGCCGUGAGGUGUCAGGUUAAGUCCUAUAACGAGCGCAACCCCUAUCGUUAGUUGCCAUCAAGUAAAGUUGGGAACUCUAGCGAAACUGCCGGUGCAAACCGAGAGGAAGGUGGGGAUGACGUCAAAUCAUCACGGCCCUUACGUUCUGGGCUACACACGUGCUACAAUGGUCGGUACAGAAAGCAGCCACUAUGCGAAUAGGAG
rnacentral:rRNA from 1 species